rnacentral:lncRNA from 1 species
CAUUUUCCCUCUCUCUAAAAGAAGAAGUUCUUAUGCCCUAACCAAGUUCCUCCAUCUUCUCUCUAAAAUUCCAGAAAUAUGAACCGUGCAAAUUUUAAUUGAGUGCUGCCAAACCCUUCCUGGCAGAAAGGGCUUCCAUUUGAACCGAACACUUCUCAGUUUCAGUUGGUAAGUAAGUUUCCCCUUUUCCCUCCACUGUCCUAACCUAAGGCAACCAAUUUUCUGGUUGCAUGUACUUUCCACAUUUUAUUUUCCUUCCAAUUUGUUCCAGCUCUAAAAAUGUUGUUUCUAUCAUCAAAAUUGGUGAUUUAUAGGUCCUGUCUUGUUCAGCACAGUGUAAGGGUUACUGUUGGAGCGUUCCCUGAAUUUUUGGUUGUGAACUUUCCAGGUAAGGGGAGCUGAUUAUAUAAAUUAAUUUAUUUGUGUGAUAUGAUGGUAUAUUAAGUUUUGAAAUAUGUAUAUUGUUGGGCCUGUAUAUUAUGUUGUUGUGCUUAAAUAAAAAUUUUAUAUGUAUGUGUGGUGUGUAAAGUUUAUUGUGAAUGAUUAGGCAAAUAUAUAAUGUAGUAUAUAAUUUGGAUCAUUAUGGAUUAUUGUGAAAAUUGGUGCUUAGUGAAAGGUUCAUGCAAUUGCAAGUAAGGAUAUAGAUUUCAAUGUUUAAGUUAUAUUUUAGAGGUAAUCAGAAUACUGUAACAGUUUAACUUUCUUAUAAACAUCAGUACAGUAUAUAUGUAGUAUAUAUACAAUACCAAAGUACAACAGCGAUUAAAUAAAGAAUAUGAAAAUAUCUGGAUUCUUUUAUGAUGUUCAUUCGGUAUUGGGAUUGGUUCAACAAUCCUUACGUUGCUUUAUGAUGUAGUAUAUUUGGUUGUUUAAGUAGUUUAAGUCACGUAACAUAUAUUUCUCUGGUAGUUGAUGCGGGAAUUUUAUUUUAGUGCAGUAUUUAUGGUUUCUUUUUUUUAUAGCUUAUAUUAUAUUAUAUUCUCAUAUUUUAUAAAGAAGUAUUUGAAACGUUAUAUAUGUUGAUUGUGAUAUAAAGUAUAUGAUUACAAAGUGAUGAAAGUACGAUCUAAGUAGUAAACCAAGUUCCAUAAGUUCAAGAUCUCUUGGUGAGAUCUUUAGUGUUUUAAAAUGGAAGUAGGGGCUCAGCCUUGGGAGUCAUUCUGACGCUUCAAUGGUCAAUCAAACUCACUUAGAGAGGUUGAACCAUGUGGUGAGNAGUAGCAGNAGGUCCUUAGUCUUGGGGGCUCCUAGUAUGCCUCAAGGCCCGGAACGGACUAACCUCGUGAGUGUGGCAGGGUGGGGAACCCAAGUUUCAUAAGUCACCACAGGUGCAAGACUCGCCAUAGUCCGACUCUCAUUUUAAAGUCCGGACGAGUCAGUCUAGAAAUUCACAUGCUUAGGUUGUGUUCAUCAACUGUUUGAUAAAAAUUAUGAUUGUAUGUUAUAUGAUCUAAUAUGAGUUGUUUGAUUUUAUAUAAUUAGCUCACCCUUGCUUGUUUGUCUGGUUGCUUUGUAUGUUGUGUGUUUUCCUGUUGCGAUGAUCGUCCAUUUAUGGAUGUGAGCAGAGGAGAAUGACGUCUCUGGGAGAACGUUCUGGAGGAACAAGAAGACCCUGCUGCUGCCUAGACCCUAGGAAUUUUCUUCUACCAUUUACAUGUUCUGUAUUUUGAAAUACUUAGAGUUUCUUCCACGUUUUUUUUUUAAUUUUCUUAUAAUUCUGGAUUACUGUAAUCCUAGCUUAAUUACCUUGAACACUCUAACUGCUUUAUUAUAUCAUCUAUGAUGACGUCUUAAUUUUUA